ensembl:lncRNA
GGCCGCGGAGCUGGAGCCGCCAUGAUGGCACCAGCGGGAUGGUGGAGCUGUGGGGUUCUGUGCGAGGAAAGCGGUGCUUCGUCGCCCUACGUCCCCGCCGCCGCCUGCCCUGUGCCUCGGGUGUCGCCGGGCGGUCAGGGGAAGUCGGCGCAGGGGCACCUGCUGGCCCUAUUCGUCCCUCGUCAGAAUCCAGCCAUCCUCCGGAGGGGGUACCGAGCUGUCCUCCGUCGUUGCAGCGGGGCACUGCUGGGCUGUGAGAAGCGGCGGCUGACCACGAGCAGCGGAACCCUCCCAGUCUCCGGCAGCAGCUCCUGGCUGAGCCGGGCAGCCCUGAAAGAGAAGGACUGAUCCCACGGGUCGAGACGUGUUCAAGCCUGGCAGAGGUUCAGGCGAGCGCCUUCGGUUCUUGCUUGGCUCAAAUCAGCAGCAGCGAGUGCUGAGUUCCUGCCCCGCAGGGUGUAGGAACAUCCAGUGAUGAUUGGAGUGAUGGUGUCCUACUUGGAAAUGGAGGUGCUGGAUGGCAGAAGAGGAUUCUUGGCCAAAUAUGGAAUCAUCUCUGUUCCUUCAUGAGGGUAAGUUUUUAAAAGUCAAACAUAUAGAGGUGGAUUUGCAGGGUGCCUUGAAGGAGGUGACCCCCCCCCCAACUUGAUAUCAGUUGGAUAUUUCAGAGCAGCUGAGAUUAAGGGGACAUUACAAAGUUCUGAAAAUGUUCCUGAAUGUUUUUAGUUGUUAAACUGUCUAAAAGAAUACAAGCAAUGCAAAAAAAAAAAAAAAAAAAAAAAAAAGGCAGAACAACUGCAUGUCCUGAACAGAAUCCAGCUUUAAUAGAGACUAAAAAUUAUUCAUAUUCCUCUUUCUUCUUAGUGACCUAAUUAGCUCUCAUCUUCUCUCUCUGCUCUCUCCACACACCUUCCUACUUCUUACAUGUUCUGUUCUCCUACUGUUGAACUCCUGUCAUCUUUAUUUCUCUCCCUUUCUACCUUUGGAAUCCCUUCCCUAAUGCCCCUUCCCUCUUUUGUCUCUUCUGUCUUUUCUAACUUCACCUCUCUGCUGUCUUCCUCUCCUCUACUUCUUUUUUUUUUUUUCCAUACUCUUCUCUCUCUUUUCUCUGCACCAUUAUUUAUCUUCUUCCUUCUUCUGCACUUCUGUGCUCUGCGGUUCUGUCCUCCCCUGCCUGUUACUCCUGUCUUCCUCUUCUCCUCCUCACUCUUCUCCCGUUUCUGCUUUACCCCUUGCCGCUGAUGUGGUGACUCAUCUACUCUUAAGUUCUCCCUUAGUGUUAUCUUCUUCUGCUGGGUCAUCUUCCCUCUGUCCUCCCUCCUCUUUAGCUGGCCAUUAGUUCUCCCUGUAACAGCUCCUAUUGUGCCAUUCUUUCUUCUCCGUAUCCUCACUCUUCCUUCAUCUGCAUCUGCACUUCUCUUCUGCUGUUCUUUCUUCUCUCUAUCCUCUCUCCUCUUCUGCAUCACAUCUCUCCUUCUGCUGUUUUCUUCCUGUUUCCUCGUUGCUCUUCUCCAUCUUUGCUCCUCUUCUGCUGUUUUUUUCCCCGCUUCCUCACUCCUCUUUCAUCUGCAGCAGCUCUGCUCUUCUUUCUUCCCUCUCUCCUCUCUCCUAUUUUUUCUGUAUCUGGACCCCAUUUCUGCUCUUCCUUCUUCCCUGUAUCCUCUGCUCUUUCAUCUGCAUCCUCACUCUUCUCUUGUUCUUUCUUCCCUGUCUCCUCACUCCUUUCUUCUGCAUCUGCACUUCUCAUCUUCUUUCUUUCCUGUAUUCUCACUACUCAAUCACCUGCGUCUGCACUCUCCUUCUGCUGUCCUUUCUUCCCUGUAUCCUCACUCCUCUUCCUUCAGCAUCUAACUACUCUCUCACUUUUCUUUAUUCUCUUUUCACUGCUCUGCUUUCAGCAUCCACACUCCACUCCUAUUGUUUUCUUGCGUCCUCUCUCCUCUUCUGCUGAUCUUUUUCCUGCUUCCCCACUCCUCUGUUGUUUGCAUCAUCUUGUGCUGUUCUUUCUUCCCUCUGCCUUCACUCUUUAUUCUGCAUCAGCACUCCUCUUCGGCUCUUCCUUCUUCCCUGUCUUCCCUGUAUUCUCCCUGCACUUUCCUCUGCAUUUUUCACUCUUCUUCUCCUGUCCUUGUUUUCCCUGCUUCCUCGCUUCUCCUCUUCUACAUCUGCUCUUCUCUUCUACUUUUUUCUUCUGUAUCCUCACUGCUCUUUCUUAUGCAUCUGCUGUUUUCUUCCUUUUAUCUUCAGUAUUUUUUCUUCAUCUGCUCUUCUCUUCUUCUUUCUUCCCUCUCCUCUCUUUCUUCUGCAUCUCCCCUCCUCUUCUGAUCUUUAUUCAGUCUCCUCAAUCCUCUUCUGCUGUUCUUUUUUCCUGCUUCCUCACUCCUCUACUACUGCUGCAUCUGCACUGCUCUGCUGCUGUUAGUUCUUCAUUCUAUCCUCACUCUUCUUUCUUCUGCAUGUGUACUCCAGUUCUUCAAUUCUUUCUUCCCUGUGUUCUCACACAUCCUCCUUUUGUACCUGCUCUUCACUUCAGCUGUUCUUUCUUUUAUCCUCACUUUCAUUUGCAUCUGCACUCCUCUUAGGUUCUUCUUUCUUAUCUGUUCUCUUCUGUUCUUUUUUCCCCCUAUAUCUCACUCCUUUCUUCUACAUGUGUUCUCGUCUUCUACUGUUCUUUGUCCCCUCACUGCUCUUUGUUGUGCUUCUGCUCUUUUCUGCUGUUCUUUCUUCCAUCUUCCUUAUUUUUCUUUGUUUGCUCUUUUCCUCUGCUGUUUUUCAUCCCAGUCUCCUUGCUUCUUUCUUCUACAUCUGCUCUCAUCUGUUCUUUCUUCCCUGUUUCCGCUUUCUUCUGCAUCUGCACUCUUCUCCUGUUCUUUCUUCAUCCUGUCCUGACUCCUCUUCUACUCUUUUCUUCCCUGCCUAGUCUCUCCUCUUCCGUCUGCAUUUGCACUCCACUUCUUCUGUUGUUUUUUCCCUGUCUUCACUCCUCUUUCUGCAUCUGCUCUCCUCUUCUGCUGCUCUUUUUCCUGCUUCCUCACUCCUUUGUUGCCUGUGUCAGCUCUACUCUUGUGCUGUUCUCUCUUCCCUCUGCCUUCACUGAGGGACUCAUCUUAGGCUCUUCCUUCUUCCCUGUAUUCUCCCUGCACUUUCUUCUGCAUUCUCACUCUUCUAUUGUUGUUUUUCCCUAUAUCUCUCCUCUUCCUUCUGCAUCUGCUCUCCUCUUCUGCUGUCCUUUCUUUCCUGUAUACUCACUCCUCUUUUGUUGUUCUUUAUUCUGUCUCUUCACUACUGUGUUCUGCAUCUGCUUUCUACUUCUGUUUUCCCCUGGUGUCCUCACUCAUCUUUCUUCUCCAUCUGCUCUUCUGUUCUGCUGUCCUUUCUUCUGUUUGUCCUUACUAUUUUUACUUCAUCUGCACUCCUCUGCUCUUCUUUCCUCUGUGUCCUCACACCUCUUCUGCUUCUACACAUCUCUUCUGCUGUUCUAUCUUCUAUAUAUCUUCAUUGCUUUUUCAUCUGUAUCCUUGCUCUUCUUCUCCUGUCCUUUCUUUGCUGUAUCCUCACUCCUCUUUUGCUCUUCCAUCCCCUGUCCCCACUUCCUUCUGCAUCUGAACUCCAUUUCUGCUCCUCCUUCUUCCCUGUAUCCUCCCUGGUCUUUUGUCUGCAUCUGCACUCCUCUUCAGCUGCUCUUUUUCCCCUGUUACUGCACUCCUCUUUUUUCUGCAUCUGCACUCCUUAUCUUUCUUCCCUGUAUUCUCUCUGCUCAUUCACCUGUAGCUGCACUCCUCUUCUGAUGUUGUUUCCUUCUUGUAAUCUCACUCACCUUUUUUUCUGCAUCUGCACUGCACUUCAGCUGUUCUUUCUUGAUCCUGUUGUCACUUUUCUUCUCCAUCUGUACUCCUCUUCUGCUGUUUUUUUUUCCCUGCUUCCUCACUCCUUUCUUCUACAUCUGCUCUCCUGUUCUUUCUUGUCUCCUCACUGCUCUCUUUUGUGCAUCUGCUCUUUUCUGCUAUUCGGGAAGAAAUUGCAGGGGGAGGAAUGGGGAAGAGGUGAGGUGCAGUUUCUUUGCAUCCUGUGUCCAUGGAGCAGGUGUCACCUACUAAGAGCUGGGAGCCCUGCACAGUAUCCUGGAUUUGUUUUCCUUCCUUGUUGGAGCUUUUGGGAUGCUUUUGUAGGUGCUUUGUGCAUUUUUUUUAAGUCACUGAACUCUGCUGAGACAACUGGUGUCCUAGGGAGAGCCCCACUGCGCCCUUCUUGUUUGGGCUGUUUUAUUCCCUCUGGAGAUUAAAAGGGACUUCAAAAUCCCACCUGUACAACUUGCUGUUGCUCCAGCCUGCCAAGUGGAGAUCAUGAAGUGUGACCGCCAUUGGGGCAGGGAGGAAAGUAGCUAAGAAAUUCAUCUGCCAGUCUGAAGUAUUGGGUCUUGAAGAUGGUAACAGCCAUGGUAGGCCAGCUAGCAAGAUCGUAGAAUCCUAGAAUCACCAAGAUUGGAAAAGACCUACAAGAUCAUCUGGCCCAACUGUCCACCUGUCACCAAUGGUUCUCACUAAUCCAUGUCACUCAACACAGUGUCUAAACUUUCCUUGAACACCUCCAUGGUCAUUGACUUCACCAUCUCCCUGGGCAGCCCAUUCCAGCGCCAGACCAGUCUUUUGCAAAAGUAGUAUUUCCUAAUGUCCAGCCUGAAUCUCCCUUGGUGCAACUUGGGGUUAUUCCCUCUCAUCCUAUGGCUAGUUUCACGAGAGAGAGCUAACAAUGAAACUUAUCUCUGUGGGACAGCCCUGACUUGGCCAACUGUGCUGCAGGAAUGGAAGUGUUCACGUAGACUGUGUGGAGCUUGUUCUUGUGAAACGGUCCCUUGUGCUGCAAGAAUCUCUCUGAUUUUCUAUCAUGAACUCUUCCUCCUGGUUUUCAAUGUGUACACAGACAUUGCUAAUAAAGAAAGAUCAGACCUCUUCCUAGGCCAUGGAAAGGAAGGUGCUUGAAAAGCAAAGACAGGCAGGUGUGUGCGAAGCAAUGGUAUGUGUGUGCUUGCAAAGCAAAGAGAACUAUGUGCAUGCUUCCAAAGCCAAGGCAGGCAGGACUGUGCGUGCUUAGCCAAGGCAGGCAGGACUGUGCGUGCGUGCUUAGGUACAUGCUUCUGAAGCAAAGGCACAUAGGGGCUUGCAAAGCAAUGGUAGGUAGGCAUGUGCUUGUGUGGCAAAGUGUCUCACUCCAAUUUAUCGGAGGGAGGGGAGGUUCUUUCAGUGUACGUAUACCCAAUGUUGAGAUUAAGACACUACUGGUCAAAUGUUAGCCCAACCUGUUUAUUACAAAUCCUAGUUGCAUAGAGAUAGGGGGAGGGAAAGAUGGGCAAUAGAGAAGAUAAGAAAUAAAAGCAAGGAGUCUUUGUAGAGAGCAAGAGAGAGAUGGUCACCACUGUUGGUCCAGCAUGGUUCAUAGUGCAUCUGUUGAUCUCAGGAACUUUUCCAGUCACUGUGGGGAAUGGGAGAAAGCCAGGAAGCUUUUGCAGCAAGUAGGCCCCGGGGGGGUCUUCCAAAGAGAUUUUUUCCCUCAGGGAUUUCCUCCAUCAAAAGUUUACUUGGGAGUCCUUCUCCAAAGUCCUUAAUUUAGCGAGGACAUUUUAUCCCCCAUUUCUCAGUUGUUUUUCCUUCUUUUCUCUCUGUUAGUGUGACAUACCUGACCCAACAGUUAAGCCAGCAGGGAGUGGUGCAUUUGUUGCCAUGCACAAGCAUUAUCACCUUUUGCAGUGGUCAGCUCCUUCAAGCUGCCUCCUCCUGAAAAUGGCUGCUUGUCCCACUUCUGCUUAUUCUUCUAAGCAGAAGUUCUGUGGCACAGUGACAUUCAUCAUUCGCCACCCCCCCUCCCCCCCCUCAAAUCACCAGAAAGGCCUCAGAGGGAAGCUUUGAGACAAACAACAACAAAAACAGUUUUGUCUUUCACACCACCUGGUGGCUCAAAGGUUGCUUGAAAUCGAUGUGUAAAUAACCAUUCAUGGUGGUGAAGAAAGAAAUAAUAAUAAAAAAUAGUAAGCAUGGGGAAAAGAGGGAUGGGGGGUGAGGGAAAGCUAAAUGUUACACAGUUGCUACAAAGGAUUUCUUGAGCUUGGUUACAAAUGUUGCCCUGAUCUUCUGCACUUGUCCAUCAUCAGUUCAAGGGGUUACAGAGUGCGUAGAGGAUGCAAUGGUUGUAUAAGUUGAAUAAAACAUGGAAUCAUACAAGAAUAAACAUAAGAGUUGCAACAGCACACAAGAGAUAAAAUAGAAUAUGUUAAAUUAAAGUUGAUUUAGUGUUUUGCCCAGACCAUAGAUGAAGCAAAUAUGUUUUCUAAUAUCUCAGAGAUUAUUUGUCCUGUGAUUAGCAGAAUUGGACAAUCUAUUUAGGCAGAGUGAAGGUAUUACUGUACAACACUGCACAUUGUUCCAAAGUUAAAUAUGAAUAGAAUUUUCCAUUCGAGCAUCUCCAAAGCAAUUUGAAUGCUGUAGGGGAACUGCUGAUUCACGGCCUGAAAAACUGAUUGUUCAUGUGAGGCAAGCACUGAGUCAGCCAUGGGAGCAUAGGUGAAGGCAACUCAGUUGUGUGACUGGAAGGGGUGGAGCAAGGCUGCACCUCAUCAAAGACCUCGUUGAAGAGCCGGGGAAGGAUUUCUUUCUGCAGAUUGCUCCCUUUGGAAUUUUCCUGCAAGUGAGAGUUUUCAUUUAUUUUUGAUAUCCUUUUCCACUGUGAUAAUCUUUCUAGCUAUACAAUCAGUAGAUACCACCCUAACCACAUCACUCUGUAUAUUUGUUGAUUAUACAAAUACCAAGAUAGAGAUAUACUAGUCUGGCAAGUUCAGGUAAUAUAGACCUUUCAGAGGAUGCUGUGCGUAGGAUGCUCCACAGUAUAAACCAUAAGAGAGGUAAACCCAGAAACGUGUACAUCUCUUAUUAAAACUUAGACCCUUUCCAACAACCAUGUUUUGGAUGGAACUUCUGGACUGGUGUUACAAUCAACAGCUCUCCAAUACUCGAAAAAACCCAUCAGUAACAUCAUAUUGCAAAGGGCUUUGUGAUGGGUUUCUUUUGCAACCACAUCUGACAGAUAGUAGAUGGGUCCCUCGGUUCAUUUCCCACUUUGUUAGGAACCUGAAAACACCAUGGAGGUGUUACAUGUAAAUCAUAUUCAGUUUGAUAAAAAGGGGUGAAAUAAGGGGUCAAAAGGAAUGCAUUCACUGUGUAGGGAGUACCAGUAAGCCAGGAUGACCUGCGAAAACUUUGAACCCAAGUGUGAAGUUGAACAGAUCCAAGGUCUGAUAUCAAUCACCACCUGCACCAACAACAACCCAAAACAUCGCAAUCAAAAUGUGUUAUCAAGAGGUAUAUUCAGCAUUCUAGCAUGAUCAAAUCUUCAGUAUUUUCUGUUACAAAACACAAAUGGUUAAACUUAGCCAUUGGCCUUUCUGUGUUCAUUCAAGGUCCCACAGGGGCCUUCUGUAAAAUAAAACAAGACAUCGACUUGCCAUUUUUGGGCUUUGUUAAUAUGGUUAAAGAAUGGGAG